GGGACAUCAUCGCCGGCCGGGCAGCGGGCAUGCGCACAGUCGGCUGAAUGCGCUCGUAAAACAGAUUCAAACAAACUAACUGCAAACGACGAACGUUUCGCACUCGCCGCUUAAUUGCCGGUGAGCUUUGCAACAGCAGGCCGAUGGGCUGGGCAAGGGGGCGCUAGAGCAAUCUGACGCCUCCCGGCUGCAAAGAUAAUCUACAUGGGCUGGUCCUGAUCCGGGUACCUUGGGUCGGGACGAGAAAAUAGGGUGCUGGCGGCCGGUGUAGCGUGCGACUGCGCGACACCGGUGGCGAGACCUAAAUCAGAUCGCUAAACAUGUAGAUCUGCGCGACGAAGGCUUGCGGACGGGGGUUCAAAUCCCCCCAGCUCCACCA
rnacentral:tmRNA from 1 species